rnacentral:rRNA from 1 species
CCUACGGGUGGCUGCAGUCGAGGAUCUUCGGCAAUGGGGGCAACCCUGACCGAGCGAUGCCGCGUGCGCGAUGAAGGCCCUCGGGUUGUAAAGCGCUUUAGGGGGGGAGAAAAGCCGGGUCACACCGGUGUGAUCUAUCCCCAAAAUAAGCUCGGGCUAAGUUCGUGCCAGCAGCCGCGGUAAGACGAACCGAGCGAACGUUGUUCGGAAUCACUGGGCUUAAAGCGUGCGUAGGCGGGCUGUCCAGUCUGGGGUGAAAGUCCGCGGCUCAACCG